rnacentral:tRNA from 1 species
GGUAAAAUGGCUGAAUAAUAGGCGAUAGAUUGUAAAUUUAUUUAUGAGAAAUAAUCUCUUUUACU